rnacentral:rRNA from 1 species
GACGAACGCUGGCGGCGUGCUUAACACAUGCAAGUCGAACGGAAAGGCCCUGCUUUUGUGGGGUGCUCGAGUGGCGAACGGGUGAGUAACACGUGAGUAACCUGCCCUUGACUUUGGGAUAACUUCAGGAAACUGGUGCUAAUACCGGCUAGGAGCUCCUGCUGCAUGGUGGGGGUUGGAAAGUUUCGGCGGGUUGGGAUGGACUCGCGGCUUAUCAGCUUGUUGGUGGGGUAGUGGCUUACCAAGGCUUUGACGGGUAGCCGGCCUGAGAGGGUGACCGGCCACAUUGGGACUGAGAUACGGCCCAGACUCCUACGGGAGGCAGCAGUGGGGAAUAUUGCACAAUGGGCGGAAGCCUGAUGCAGCGACGCCGCGUGCGGGAUGACGGCCUUCGGGUUGUAAACCGCUUUCGCCUGUGACGAAGCGUGAGUGACGGUAAUGGGUAAAGAAGCACCGGCUAACUACGUG